GACGAACGCUGGCGGCGUGCUUAACACAUGCAAGUCGAACGGAAAGGCCCUGCUUUUGUGGGGUGCUCGAGUGGCGAACGGGUGAGUAACACGUGAGUAACCUGCCCUUGACUUUGGGAUAACUUCAGGAAACUGGGGCUAAUACCGGAUAGGAGCUCCUGCUGCAUGGGGGGGGUUGGAAAGUUUCGGCGGUUGGGGCUGGACUCGCGGCUUAUCAGCUUGUUGGUGGGGUAGUGGCUUACCAAGGCUUUGACGGGUAGCCGGCCUGGGAGGGUGACCGGCCACAUUGGGACUGCGAUACGGCCCAGACUCCUACGGGAGGCAGCAGUGGGGAAUAUUGCACAAUGGGCGGAAGCCUGAUGCAGCAACGCCGCGUGCGGGAUGACGGCCUUCGGGUUGUAAACCGCUUUCGCCUGUGACGAAGCGUGAGUGACGGUAAUGGGUAAAGAAGCACCGGCUAACUACGUG
rnacentral:rRNA from 1 species